GACGAACGCUGGCGGCGUGCUUAACACAUGCAAGUCGAACGAUGAAGCCUAGCUUGCUAGGUGGAUUAGUGGCGAACGGGUGAGUAAUACGUGAGUAACCUACCUUUAACUCUGGGAUAAGCCCGGGAAACUGGGUCUAAUACCGGAUACGACCAAUCUCCGCAUGGGGUGUUGGUGGAAAGCGUUAUGUAGUGGUUAUAGAUGGGCUCACGGCCUAUCAGCUUGUUGGUGAGGUAACGGCUCACCAAGGCGACGACGGGUAGCCGGCCUGAGAGGGUGACCGGCCACGCUGGGACUGAGACACGGCCCAGACUCCUACGGGAGGCAGCAGUGGGGAAUAUUGCACAAUGGGCGCAAGCCUGAUGCAGCGACGCCGCGUGAGGGAUGACGGCCUUCGGGUUGUAAACCUCUGUUAGCAGGGAAGAAGAGAGAUUGACGGUACCUGCAGAGAAAGCGCCGGCUAACUACGUGCCAGCAGCCGCGGUAAUACGUAGGGCGCGAGCGUUGUCCGGAAUUAUUGGGCGUAAAGAGCUUGUAGGCGGUUUGUCGCGUCUGCUGUGAAGGCCGGGGCUUAACUCCGUGUAUUGCAGUGGGUACGGGCAGACUAGAGUGCAGUAGGGGAGACUGGAAUUCCUGGUGUAGCGGUGGAAUGCGCAGAUAUCAGGAGGAACACCGAUGGCGAAGGCAGGUCUCUGGGCUGUAACUGACGCUGAGAAGCGAAAGCAUGGGGAGCGAACAGGAUUAGAUACCCUGGUAGUCCAUGCCGUAAACGUUGGGCACUAGGUGUGGGGAACAUUCCACGUUUUCCGCGCCGUAGCUAACGCAUUAAGUGCCCCGCCUGGGGAGUACGGCCGCAAGGCUAAAACUCAAAGAAAUUGACGGGGGCCCGCACAAGCGGCGGAGCAUGCGGAUUAAUUCGAUGCAACGCGAAGAACCUUACCAAGGCUUGACAUAUACUGGACCGCAUCAGAGAUGGUGUUUCCCUUCGGGGCUGGUAUACAGGUGGUGCAUGGUUGUCGUCAGCUCGUGUCGUGAGAUGUUGGGUUAAGUCCCGCAACGAGCGCAACCCUCGUUCUAUGUUGCCAGCACGUAAUGGUGGGGACUCAUAGGAGACUGCCGGGGUCAACUCGGAGGAAGGUGGGGAUGACGUCAAAUCAUCAUGCCCCUUAUGUCUUGGGCUUCACGCAUGCUACAAUGGCCGGUACAGAGGGUUGCGAUACUGCGAGGUGGAGCUAAUCCCUAAAAGCCGGUCUCAGUUCGGAUUGGGGUCUGCAACUCGACCCCAUGAAGUCGGAGUCGCUAGUAAUCGCAGAUCAGCAACGCUGCGGUGAAUACGUUCCCGGGCCU
rnacentral:rRNA from 1 species